UACAGAGGGUGCGAGCGUUGUCCGGAAUCACUGGGCGUAAAGGGCGCGUAGGUGGCGCGACAAGUCAGUGGUGAAAGCUCGGCGCUCAACGCCGAGUCGGCCACUGAUACUGUUGGGCUUGAGCACUGUAGAGGCUAAUGGAAUUCCGGGUGUAGCGGUGGAAUGCGUAGAGAUCCGGAAGAACACCGGUGGCGAAGGCGGUUAGCUGGGGCAGUUGCUGACACUGAGGCGCGACAGCGUGGGGAGCAAACAGGG
rnacentral:rRNA from 1 species